GGGGGGGGGGGGGGGGGGGGGGGGGGGGUGGGGGGCGGGGGGGGGGGGGCGGGGGGUGUGGGGUGGUCGGGGGGCGGGCGGGGGGGUAACACGUGGGUGCCCUGCCCGUGCCGUUUGUGUCGCUCCAGGGAGCUGGGGCGGAUACCCGAUAGGCUCUGCUGCUGCCUGGUUGGGGUGGAGCAGGGUCGGCGGUUUGGGAGGGACUCGCGGCUCCUCAGCUUGUGGGUGGGUUAUUGGCUUACCAAGGCUUUGACGGGUAGCCGGCCUUAGAGGGUGAACGGCCACAUGGGGACUGAGAUACGGCCCAGACUCCUACGGGAGGCAACAGUGGGGAAUAUUGCACAAUGGGCGGAAGCCUGAUGCAGCAACGCAGCGUGCGGGAUGACGGCCUUCGGGUUGUAAACCGCUUUAGCGUGUGACGAAGCGUGAGUGACGGUAAUGGGUAAAGAAGAAACGGCUAACUACGU
rnacentral:rRNA from 1 species